AACGCCGACUUCAAGUACAUGGGCUGUGCCUUCAAGACUGAUUGUACAAAAAAAAGAAAUAUUGCCCGCCUCGUCUGCGACUUUGGAAGAGGGAGUGGAGGGCCGUGGCGUUACGAAGGUAGCAAGCCGUACGCAAGCGGAGGCCAAUGUACGCAGUGCCCAUCUGGAUACGACACUUGUGAUGCGGGAUUGUGCGCCCAAGGAUAGGCAAUGCUGACGGAACCUCAUUCAGUGAAUCACGAGAAUAAUGAUGGAUAGGUAUAUCACAGCACAAAGCCACCACUUUAUUAGCAUUAUAACUAAAGAUGCACGAUUCAGUAAUUUGUUGUUUCUUUUAAUUAUAAGUGAAAUGUUGUAAUUGAUAUCUGUUCUUUAGAUUUUCCUCUAAGAACUUAACUUUACCAUAUUAAGGUGGUGGGAGUUCCUGGGCCUUAUGAUCCGGAAUGUAUGAGGCCUCUCGCAAUUCGAAGCAAACUGUUCCCGAUUUUCCUCAUCUUUGGUAGUUCAAUGUUGGUAUAUAGAACUUCAUUGUAUGUGAGCUUCUAUUUCAUUCAUUUAAAAUGUUGGUACAAGUAUUAACUUGUCAAAAAUCUUGUGAACCAUUUCGGUGUCAUGAAAUUAAACCCGAAAGUCAUAAACGGUGGUGUCCGGAAAUUGGAAAUGCUCAAAAUCGGGUAAAUGUUUGCCUAUGCUUAAGCGAACCCGUAACAUUUCUUUAAAGUAGAUCCAUUAUGCUAGAAAAUCAUUUCCACUCAUUUAACCAAAGUACCACAUGUUUGUCCGAAUUAUUUCUUUAUUUGUUAUAUUUGUUUAUUUGUUUAUUUGUUUAUCUCUUUAUCUCUUCAUUUCUUUAUUUCUUUAUUUCUUUAUUUCUUUAUUUCUUCACAAAAAGCUGCUUUAAACAACUUUACGAAGAUGAUAAUGGUUAAAUAUACUAUUAAUUUUGCAUAAUUGGUAAAACAUAUGGUUAAGAUGCUGAUUAGGAAGGUACGAUUGAUUUUAAUUUAGACAAGCACUCUAAUGUGAUUCUCGUGAAAUAGAGAUUAAUAUUGCAAGUAUAAGAGUUGUCAGCUUAUGAACUUGUGUGACAAUGAUGAUGUAACGCAUGCAUCAUUAAACUCAAUCAAGUGGUGACUCA